UACGGAGGAUUCAAGCGUUAUCCGGAUUUAUUGGGUUUAAAGGGUGCGUAGGCGGUCGGAUAAGUUAGUGGUGAAAUCCCGGGGCUCAACUUCGGAAUUGCCUCUGAUACUGUUCGGCUAGAGAGUAGUUGCGGUAGGCGGAAUGUAUGGUGUAGCGGUGAAAUGCUUAGAGAUCAUACAGAACACCGAUUGCGAAGGCAGCUUACCAAGCUACUUCUGACGUUGAGGCACGAAAGCGUGGGGAGCAAACAGG
rnacentral:rRNA from 1 species